UUAAUUCGAUGAUACGCGAGAACCUUACCCGGGCUUGAACUGCCGUGAACGAUACAGAGAUGUUGAGUCCUUCGGGACGCCGUGGAGUGCUGCAUGUUGUGUCAGCUCGUGCCGUGAGUGUCGGCUUAAGUGCCAUAACGAGCGCAACCCCUCUCCGUAUUGCCAUCGGGUGAUGCCGGCACUCUGCGGACACUGCCACCGUAAGGUGCGAGGAAGGUGGGGAUGACGUCAAAUCAGCACGGCCCUUACGUCCGGGGCUACACACGUGUUACAAUGGGUGGUACAGAGAGCCGGGAGUACGCAAGUGCCCCCUAAUCAUGAAAUCCAUCCUCAGUUCGGACUGGGGUCUGCAACCCGACCCCACGAAGCUGGAUUCGCUAGUAAUCGCGCAUCAGCCAUGGCGCGGUGAAUACGUUCCCGGGCCUUGUACACACCGCCCGUCAAGCCAUGAAAGCCUGGGGCGCCUGAAGUCCGUGACCGCGAGGGUCGGCCUAGGGUGAAACAGGUGAUUGGGGCU
rnacentral:rRNA from 1 species